AGACGCGUUCUUUGGGGGGGCCCCGAGGGGCGGUGUGGGGGAUCAGACACCUCCCCGAGGCAGCGGGGCUGGUCCGUGCGGAUCACGCCCGGGAGCUGCCGCGGGCACCGACCCACACCCACCGCCUCCCGCGCCGCCUCUGUCCGUGGUGCUGAAGGCUGCCAGCGGCCGCGCGCGAAGGGGCGGGACGCGGCGGCCAAGGGGGCGGGAGGGGCGCGCUCCCGCCGGCCUCCGCUGCUCGCGCAGGCGCGCCGCCGCCUCGCCGGCUGCGCCGCCAGCCCGUCCGUUGAGUGCGAGGGAGCGCGGGCGAGCGCGUGUGAGGGCAGGGCCGGGCCGGGCCGGGCGGCGGGCGCGCUCAGGCAGCGCGGGGGCACAGUGGCAGCGCCGCCGCUCCACAGCACACGGCCACCCGCAUACGCUCCCCCCCCCCCCACAUACCGUCCCGCUUAUUUCCGGAGCCGGGACGAGGACCGGAGCGGCGGCGGCGGCUCUCGGUGGCAGCAGGUUCUCCCGCGCCUGCCGCGGGGUGAUUUUCGUUCCUCGCCUGCCGUGGCUGGCUUGCUCCCGCCAGCCGCUCGCUCGGAGGAUCUAAUUAGCUGACGAGCGCGCACCGCGGAGGAGGAAGACGACGCGGAAGAAAGGGCUGUUUCCGUGGCUUUGUGGAUGCUCUACUUUUCCUGGAAAUGCAAAAGAUUAUGCAUAUUUCUGUUUUCCUGGCGCCCGUGUUGUGGGGACUGAUCUGGGGGGUCAAUUCUAACAGCAUACAGAUCGGGGGGCUGUUCCCGAGGGGCGCCGAUCAGGAGUACAGCGCGUUUCGGGUCGGGAUGGUUCAGUUUUCCACCUCGGAGUUCAGACUGACCCCACACAUCGACAACCUGGAGGUGGCCAACAGCUUCGCCGUCACCAACGCCUUCUGCUCCCAGUUUUCAAGAGGAGUCUUUGCUAUUUUUGGAUUCUAUGACAAGAAGUCUGUAAAUACCAUAACAUCAUUCUGUGGGACUCUUCAUGUCUCCUUCAUAACUCCCAGCUUCCCAACAGAUGGAACACAUCCCUUUGUCAUUCAGAUGAGACCUGACCUCAAGGGAGCUCUUCUUAGCUUGAUCGAAUACUAUCAGUGGACCAAGUUUGCAUAUUUGUAUGACAGCGACAGGGGCUUAUCAACAUUGCAAGCUGUGCUGGAUUCUGCUGCUGAAAAGAAAUGGCAAGUGACUGCUAUCAAUGUAGGAAAUAUUAACAAUGACAGAAAAGAUGAAACUUACCGUUCACUGUUUCAAGAUCUAGAGGUAAAAAAGGAAAGGCGAGUGAUUUUGGACUGUGAACGCGAUAAAGUCAACGACAUAGUUGAUCAGGUUAUCACAAUUGGUAAACAUGUUAAAGGAUACCAUUAUAUCAUUGCAAAUCUGGGAUUUACUGAUGGAGAUUUGUCAAAAAUUCAGUUUGGAGGAGCUAAUGUCUCAGGAUUUCAGAUAGUUGACUAUGAUGAUCCUCUGGUGUCAAAAUUUAUACAACGUUGGUCAACCCUGGAGGAAAAAGAAUAUCCUGGUGCACACACUAGUACGAUUAAGUAUACAUCUGCUCUGACCUAUGAUGCUGUUCAAGUGAUGACGGAAGCUUUCCGUAAUUUGCGUAAACAGAGGAUUGAGAUCUCCAGAAGAGGAAAUGCUGGAGAUUGUCUUGCAAAUCCAGCUGUACCCUGGGGUCAUGGUGUAGAAAUAGAAAGGGCAUUGAAACAGGUUCAGGUGGAAGGUCUAACAGGGAAUAUAAAGUUUGAUCAGAACGGAAAGAGAAUCAAUUUUACAAUAAACGUCAUGGAACUCAAAAGUACUGGUCCUCGGAAGAUUGGAUAUUGGAGUGAAGUGGACAAAAUGGUUGUGAAUCCUCUUGAUGGCCCUCUUGGAAAUGAAUCUUCAGGACUAGAGAAUAAGACUAUUAUUGUCACCACUAUUUUGGAGUCCCCAUACGUCAUGAUGAAGAAAAAUCACGAAAUGCUUGAAGGAAAUGAUCGAUAUGAGGGCUAUUGUGUGGACUUAGCUACAGAAAUUGCUAAACACUGUGGAUUCAAAUAUAAGCUUACAAUUGUUGGGGAUGGCAAGUAUGGGGCAAGGGAUGCAGACACGAAAAUCUGGAAUGGAAUGGUUGGAGAACUUGUUUAUGGGAAAGCCGAUAUUGCAAUCGCUCCAUUAACUAUAACAUUGGUGAGAGAAGAGGUGAUUGACUUCUCAAAGCCCUUUAUGAGCCUGGGGAUAUCAAUAAUGAUCAAGAAACCUCAGAAGUCCAAGCCAGGAGUGUUUUCAUUUCUUGAUCCGUUAGCAUAUGAAAUCUGGAUGUGCAUUGUUUUUGCCUACAUUGGGGUCAGUGUAGUUUUAUUCCUGGUCAGCAGAUUUAGCCCAUACGAGUGGCACACUGAGGAAUUUGAAGAUGGAAGAGAAACACAAACUAAUGAAUCAACUAAUGAAUUUGGAAUAUUUAAUAGUCUCUGGUUUUCCUUGGGUGCCUUUAUGCAGCAAGGAUGCGAUAUUUCGCCAAGGUUGGUUACUUACCCAUUUCAACUUUGUGCAUUUUUCAUCUCAGCCGUCUCAGCCAGAGGAGGUUCAUGGUGCAUGUAUUUUCACUCUUGGAAAGAAAUUAAUUGCUAUAUUUUUUCUCUCCCUAAAAUCACAAAAGUCCUUGAAAGAAAAGCAGUGGUCUGUGACAUAGGAUGUGAUGUAUUUGAUCGAUACUGUCUUGAUGUCGAUCAUACAUUUGCCGAGUGAAGUUAUAUGCACCAUGCAGAGACUGUAAAAUGCAUAAGGUUCAAGUUAUUCCAUGCCUUCUUGGAGGGGUACCGUGUUUUUGCUGCAUAUUCCCAUUUUACAGUUGACAGUGCAUAUGGUUCACAACAACUGUAAUGGGAAAAAGGGUAACAUAUUAAUCACAAACUACACAGGCAGCACUUUCCCUCUAAAACUCACUACAUAUCAUAACACAGUUAUUAACCCACAGUUUUUCUUCAGGAGAGCCUUGAACAUCUGGUGGUUCUAAUUUCAUAUGAAUAGUUGCAAAACACUGCUGUUUUUUCAUGGCCUAGUUCUAGAAAAGUCACAAAGGAAAUCACUAUAAUGAAUUUGAAGGUCCAGUUUAUAAAUGCUGAAUUCCUCAUGGAUUUUCACCUACUUUAUUAGGGACAACUGUAAAGCACUUAAGUUAAUUCCUUUGCAGCUCAUUAAAUAUUCUAUUUCCCUUGUGGGCAAGUGGUUCUGGGCUUGAUUCAGCAAAGUGGUAAGUAGCUAGGUAAAUAACUACUUGCUUCUUGAAGGAACUAUAGCAACAAGUGAAGUAGGGCAGCUAGGUUUAAGGAUAUCAAAUCGGAAGACCUACCUAAUUACAUUAAGCAAUUUAACUUCCUUCUAAACAUCCUAAAGUAAGACAGGAAACAGGUCAAUUUCUAGUAACUCUAGUGGUUAGUGUGCAAAAUAAAUCGCACCAAGGGAGAAUUUCUUAGCUUUAAGUCAUGCAUGCCAAAAGGCAACAACAGGUUUUCAAGUUAUCCUGCUGCAGAAAUAGCAAAGCAUUUAUUGUCUGAGAACUUCAGCAAUUCUGUGUAAAGGCUGGCAUAUCACAGUGAGGUAUGCCAGCCUUUAUGAUGCAGCAUGCAAUAGAUUUAGCAGAUAACAUGAUAAGAAUUGUAUACAAGAAAUGAGACAUUGAAGAGAGAGCAAAUUGUUUGAGGUCAUGAGAAGGUGUGUUAAUUUUAGUCCUGUGGGGUUUUUGUAUCGAUUACACACUUCACAGGUUUAGUUGUCUGCAACGUCCCCUAUUAGCUACAAAAUUAUUUUUAUUGAAUCAAGGCCAUAGUAGAAUAAUGAUUUUUUUUAUUAUUGUUUUACUGGCUAUUAAAGCAUGACAGUUGUUUUGCACGGUUGAUAACUUUUGAAAGGUGAUAUAAGGAUAAUGAUUGUAAGUGUUCAUCGUAAAAGGUGCAUGAUACUCGAAUAAUUUUGGAGAUUCAGCAUUUAGUUUCAGUGAAGUGUUUAACAGCACUUCAUUACAAACAUAUUUUUGAGGAAAUUGGUUAGUUUUGUGUAUUAUCUGUUUAUUAUAAAAGUAGAAAAGGGCUGAAAACACCUCAGUUAGUUUUGUUCUUGCAGCAAAGCUAUCACUAUGGAAUUUGAACUUCUGCCGAAUGAGUCGGAGUAUCUUCAGGCAUCAGCAAAAUAUUGUUGUGAAGUUAAAUUUUGCACUAUUGCUACUAUCAUUUCUCUAAGAAAAAAUUACAACCACUGUAAGAAUUUUAGAGUAGACAAGGCUAGAGCUGGGGCUUCCUGAAAUAAAAGAUGGUGCUGGGUAAGGCUGGACCACCUGAAAACUGGUCUGCAAUCCCCACGUUGCCAUCACGGGUAGCAGAGAAAUGAUAGCGUAGAACAAAAUAAUGUAUUAUAUGAUAAUGAUAACUUACAGCAAAGUUUUCCUCAUCUUUUUGAGAUGUGCAUGCACUCUCAGUACUACCAUAUAAUACCUUUUGAAGUAUAAAGUGUAGUGCACAAAUUUAGGUAAUUGUGCACAGAAAUUGUUACUUAGUGUUUAAUGAUCUAAUGAAUGAGGUACUUCUAAAGUGUGGGCUCAUACUAACAUAUAAUUAUCAAUCUUUAGAAACUUAGAAAUGUACAUUAAAAAAGAAAUUAUUCAGUUAACUGGAACAGACCUUCUGGGAAAAUUUGAUAUACAAAUGACAAAAUUUUACUUAUAAAAUGUCAUGUGGGAGCAUAAUGUCUGUAUUGGCUUCGAGCUUAUUCUUUUUUUAUGAAGUCAGUGGCAACUUUGUUGCUGACAGAUCUUGGGCUUUAAAAGAUUAUUGUUGGUUAUAGCAGGUGUCAUCAAUACAAUACAAAGUGCCAUAAAAUUGACAGUUAUGAAAUACACAUUUUCAGAGAUUUACCUUGCAAAUAUUUAUUUAUCAUAGAAUUCAGUCUUUUAAUUGCAGAAUUACUUUACGCUCAGAUUACCUCCAUGUCAAAAUGUGU